GAUGAAAGACACUUCAUGGGGAGGAGAUAUGGGUUAUUAUCUCUCCCUGCACCCUUGCCUACAGCCUUUGGACUCAGACAGUAUAAUAAAUAUUGCAAGAAGAAGAAGAAGAAGAACCAAUAAAGGAAUGCACCUUGAAUGAUCUGAUGGCACGAUGUUCCAGGAAGAAAAAGAUGGCUUGAAGCUAAUUAAUAGGAAGAACAAGAGCAAUUGAAGUGCUGUUGCUUCUGCUACCA